AGGCUGGGUGAAGCAUACCACACCACUAUCUCCUUGUGUGACCUUUUUCUGUUUUCAUCUGGUCUGAGCAAGCACCUAGGCUAUUCUUGGAGUAUCACAUUCAUAGUUGUAGAAUUCAGCAAUAUUAGACUAAUGCCUGUGUAAAGGGGUUUGAAAAUGACAUAGCUUGAAGAGGAAGAUGCUCCAUUUAUACUAUCCACUAGCAGUUCAUGCAAACUGGUUGCAUAUCUGCACAUCCUAAACCAUGAGGAUAAGGACUGAUCUUCACAAUUGUUUAAAAAGGUUUACAACCACUUUCACUGAAAUAAAUGUACUGGAAAAAACAGAAUCGGGAAAUGGUGCAAAGGCUAUAACAUUUGCAUAAAGAAACCAUUAUGAAGGUACCAGAGGUAACCUGGAAAUACAGAACAACAUAAAUGUUAGAAAAAAGCACCCAGAAAUUAAAAAUUUCUGAUGUCUUCGGAUUAAUAGAAAAGGGUUGGCAUCUUUUAUGGUGACAUUAAGCCAAAGUGUCUAUCAGGACACAACAUUUCAAGGACUGCCCUCAUAAUCCAGUAAUGGAGCCGAAAGCUCCAUUGCACAAAUGCUUGACAAAUACUUGUUAUUUUCUGGAGAACUCAAAGCUGUGUCUCAUCCUGAGCCCUUGGAAUAUUCCAGCAAAGUUUUUCAAGUGGAUGCUGUCAGCACUAACCAAGAAGGCA